GAGCAACCACCAUUUGACAAGAAGCAGUUUGUCACUUACAUGAAGAGAUACAUCAAGUUGUUGACACCUAAGCUUGAGGGGGAGAAGCAAGAGGAAUUCAAGAAAAAUAUUGAGGGAGCAACUAAGUUCCUGCUGUCAAAGCUCAGUGAUCUUCAAUUGUGAGUGCUUAUUUGGUUGACUCUGAUGGCCUUCACUCUUUUGUAAUUUAUGGAUAAGCUCCUUACUGAGUCUUUUUUUACAGUUUUGUCGGAGAGAGCAUGCAUGAUGAUGGCUCCCUGGUAUUUGCUUACUACAAGGAUGGAGCCACUGACCCUACAUUUUUGUACUUCGGCCAUGGGUUGAAGGAGAUCAAGUGUUAAGCAAGCACUGGGCCUCAUAAGACUUAAAGGACAAGUUGCAUGCUGUAGUUCUAGUUUUUAUGGUUGCGAAUUUUUCUUUUUUACUUUUAUGUGUCCAUGACUAAAGAGGCAUCAAGC
rnacentral:lncRNA from 1 species